rnacentral:rRNA from 1 species
GACGAACGCUGGCGGCGUGCUUAACACAUGCAAGUCGAACGGUGAAGCGCCUUCCUUUUUGGUGGGUGUGGAUGAGUGGCGAACGGGUGAGUAACACGUGAGUAACCUGCCCCCUUCUUCUGGAUAACCGCAUGAAAGUGUGGCUAAUACGGGAUAUUCUGGGUCUGUCGCAUGAUGGGUCUGGGAAAGAUAUUGUUUCGGUGGGGGAUGGGCUCGCGGCCCAUCAGCUUGUUGGUGGGGUGAUGGCCUACCAAGGCGGUGACGGGUAGCCGGCCUGAGAGGGUGGACGGUCACACUGGGACUGAGACACGGCCCAGACUCCUACGGGAGGCAGCAGUGGGGAAUAUUGCACAAUGGGCGCAAGCCUGAUGCAGCGACGCCGCGUGAGGGAUGGAGGCCUUCGGGUUGUGAACCUCUUUCGCCAGUGAAGCAGGCCUGCCUCGUUUGUGGGUGGGUUGACGGUAGCUGGAUAAGAAGCGCCGGCUAACUACGUG